ACUGGGUCCAAACGCUGGAGAAGU
rnacentral:piRNA from 1 species